rnacentral:misc_RNA from 1 species
GUAGGUGAACCUGCGGAAGGAUCAUUAUUGAAACAAACCUGAUAAGUUGCUGCUGGUUCUCUAGGGAGCAUGUGCACACUUGUCAUCGUUGUAUCUUCACCUGUGCAUCUUUUGUAGACCUGAGUAUCUCUCUGAAAUGCUUUUAGCACUCAGGAUUGAGAAUUGACUUGCUUGUUGCUGUCUUUUCUUAUAUUUUCAGGUCUAUGUUUCUUCAUAUACCCUAAUGUAUGUGUAUAGAAUGUAAUUAGUAGGCCUUUUAUGCCUAAAUUGAUACAACUUUCAGCAACGGAUCUCUUGGCUCUC